rnacentral:rRNA from 1 species
CCUACGGGCGGCAGCAGUAGGGAAUAUUGCUCAAUGGGGGAAAGCCUGAAGCAGCAACGCCGCGUGGAGGAUGAAGGUUUUCGGAUUGUAAACUCCUUUUAGUAGGGAAGAUAGUGACGUUAUCUAACGAAUAAGCACCGGGUAACUCCGUGACAGCAGCCGCGGUAAUACGGAGGGUGCACGCGUUACUCGGAAUCACUGGGCGUAAAGAGCGCGUAGGCGGGAUAGCAAGUCAGAUGUGAAAUCCUAUGGCUUAACCAUAGAACUGCAUUUGAAACUGGUAUUCUAGAGUAUGGGAGAGGUAGGUGGAAUUCUUGGUGUAGGGGUAAAAUCCGUAGAGAUCAAGAGGAAUACUCAUGGCGAAGGCGACCUGCUAGAACAUAACUGACGCUGAUGCGCGAAAGCGUGGGGAGCAAACAGGAUUAGAUACCCCUGUAGUC